rnacentral:lncRNA from 1 species
CUUAUGAUUAAAUAAAUUUAGUUCGCAGUUGAUAAAUAAAGUUGGGCACUUUAUUUAGGUAUAGACUGUAAUAAAUUCAUUGAAUGAUUUGUCUUAAUCAUGUAUGAAUUUAUUGAUGUAGUACGACUACAUUGAACAGGAUCACAUAUGAGAUUUAAUUAACUUUGUAAUAACUGUCAGACUUAUUAAAUCUCAUAGGUAUUGAUUUUACUGUAAUCUUAAUCUUGAGUUAAUUAUGAUUUCAUGAUUGUAAUUGUUAUUCCAUUUGAGUUACCAACGGGCACGACACAUACUUGUGGUCAAGAUUACCCGGUAUCUUGGUGGGAGCAAUUAUGAGUAUUGGAGUUAUGGAUUAACAAUAUAGAAUUUGUACAACACAUCUCUUGAUAGGUUUUCGGUACUUGAUCAUAGAAUUCUCUGGCCAGAGUGUGUCAACAUAUUUAGUAUGUUGAAAAUGAUCAUUAGAGAAAACCAGUAAGGAUCAAGGAAUAAGAUGUUAUUAAAUUGAUUGGACAGUUGAGAUAUCAAUUUAAUUAACGAUGUGGUACAAAGGAUUGUGCAGUAAAGAAAUCAAUGUGGCUUGGGGCGAAUUAUUAUUCGAGCAUACAAUUAUGGAAGUCAGUUCCAAUCUUUUAGUGGAGUAGAUUUGGAAUUAAAUAAUUGGGCUAGUUUAAUUACAGGCCUAAUUAUUGUAGCCACUAUUGUAUGUUCCCAAAUGAUCCCCGGGUUAGCUCAUUUAAUUGACUGCACCACUACUGGACUAAUAAGUAAGAUAACUAGCUAUUUGGGUCAAAAGCCUAAAUAUAUCAUUUAGUGGGAGGCUCCAUUUAAUUAGCUUUUGUAUAAGGGGCCUUAUGUUAUUUUACAAGGUGGGUCCCCUAUUGAAAAAGAAAAUAACGUGAGUUUUAUUUAUGGCAUUUUUUGGAGCCUAGGGUUUUCACUAAAGGGAGAUAUAUAAGGCUUAUUUUCUCUAAAGAAAAAAAGGUGAAGCCACUUUAUACAGAUCAGAGAAUAAGAUUUUUCUCUCCAUUGUUGAGAGAAAAAUUUUCUCGUGCUAGUUGAUUUGGUAGUGAUAAAGGCGCCCACACGUCAAGUGCAGAUCGAACCUGAGUCAUAACCUGGAAGAUCAUUGGUGACAGUUCGUGAUCUAGCAAGCGUGGUGGUGACGGAUCGUGAUCUAACAGGAGUGGUGGUGGCGGAUCGUGAUCUAGGAGCCUAAAUCAUUUCAACGGAAAAAGCCAAAUCGGAUUUUCAAGGUACGAUUUCUGGAUUACGUAUUCUUAUAUAUUAUAUGAGAGCGAUCUUCAAAAGGUUUAAUAAAAAUUUAAAAACCUAAUUUUUCCCCAACAAUUGGUAUCAGAGCCAUCUCAUAUUAAUAUAUAAAGAAUUUCGUAUGAAAUCAUUCUUGAAAUUUAUGUAUUAGAGUGGCACAAUUUAUUCAGAUAUAUAUUAAUUGUUUAAUAUAUGAAUAAAGCAUGUUUUGAUUUGUCUUAAUUCAUGGUUAGAUUUUCCGUUGUAUUUUUCGUUUGGAUCUGUAACAAGAGGGGUGGCUUUUUAUCACCAUAAUUCCCUCUUGAUUUAUUUUACUGUAAUUGAAAUUUUGUAAGCCAAAAUUUGCGUUGAAAAUUUGUAAAUCACCGAAGCAUCAUCACUGGAAAACGAGCGCAAACAAUGGAGGACGGAAAUUUCAGCAACGGCCAGCAGCACACGCUGCUGCGCGAGCAGCGCGCGGCCCGCAUGGGCAGCAGCGCGCGCUGCACGCCCAGCAGUUGCCGCGUGCGCGCUGCAAGCCCGCAAAGCACGCUGUGACCAGCAACUGCAGCGUGCAACCAGCAGCGUGAGCAAGGGCUUCCAGUUGCACGCGCGGGUUUGAUGCGUUUCCGACGAGGCGGCAGCGGUUGGAGAUGUGUCGGAGAUCGGCGGCUGUCCGGUGUGAAACAGUGAACAGUGGCUGGAGAUUUUUGGAGAUGGCGGCUGGGGAAGAAAGAAAGAAAAAUAUGGAUUUAGGGUUUCAUGGUUUUUAUCAUGGAGGUCCCUAUGGUUCCAUAAGUUUUCACUUGGGCAGAAAAUUUUAAUUUUUUGCAUUUAAGUUUAAAAACAGUUUUGGGCUUAAUGAAUCCUAGUUUUAGGCCCAAUUUUAAUUGGGCUUAAUGGAUUAAAAUGCAUAGAUAAAAUUGAAUACAUUAAAUUUAUUUUUGGUCUAAAAGUUUUAUUUUAAUAAAAAAAAAUUUUUUUUUAUGUUCUUUCAAAAGUAAAAUUGGACCAAUUAUAAAUUUAAAAGUCCAAUUUCCCCUAGUCCAUUAACAAAGACAAGAUUAUGGAAGAUGAACAUUGACAAGAAGCCCAAUGAAGAUUAGGCUUAGGUUAAUGUAUUUUUCAUUAUUAGGAAAGCCAUGAAUUAAGAUUAUUUAAUUAUUUUUCUAUAUGUUAUGUUUUGGAUGAUAAUAUGCCAUGAUAACAUGUCAUAUAGAAUAGGAAGUGCCACUCUAUGCAUAAUGAUACAUGUCAUUCAUUAAUAAUGAAUUUCAUUAUAUUGUUUGAAAUUUGCAUAUGCUUAAUAAUAUUUGAUAUCAUCUAGAUAAUAUUAUAGGAAGCAUGCAAUUAACAAUAUGUAUGUUUUUUUUAAAAAAAAAAAAAAAACCAAUUUUAAAAUAUUGAGUGGGAGAGGGAAAAUUCAAGAUAAUUUUCCCACGGGCUCCAUUGUUAGUUCAAUAAUAAAAUUAUAUAUAUACCUCGACUUCAUGAUACGGUGAUGCUCCCUUCGGAGGGUAUAUAUAUUAGAUAUUUUAUUUGAUGAACUUCUUCAAAGAUAAAAUUGAAAUAUUUUUUAAUCGAUUGUUCACCCCAACGGUGACUAUUGAUAUGAAAAAUACGUAGAUUGAAACAAUGGUUAUACACUCAACUAAAGUUUGUUAUUAACCUUCCCAAGGAAGCUCUGUUAACAAAUUUAGGCCUAAAGGGAUAACGAUAAUUAUUUAUCAUGUCUCUACAUGAAAGUAAAUAAUCUAAUGGAUAAUUGGGUCUAGUAAGUGUAGACAUGACUUCCCCAACGGAUAGCUUGUCAAAGCGGUACUAGAUUGUCGUUACAAUAAAUUAAAAUGCAUUUAUGGUUUUUUGCAUUUUUGUCAUUUAUUGUGAAUAUUGUUUCAAAGUAUUUAUGCAUGUCUAUUUUGUUUUUUUUUCAGAAAAUGUCUUCCAUCAACCCAUUAUUAAUUAUCCUUGUUAAAAAUGAACUCACUAGCGAAAAUUAUUUAGAUUGGAAACGCAAUCUAUUUAAUAUUCUCACUGCUAAGGGAAGCAAAUAUGUUUUGACUCAGCCUUGCCCUCCUGAACCAUCGUUAUACGAUUAUAGAAAUCAGAGGGAUCCUUAUGAGAAAUGGUGCGAAGCUAACAAAAUGGCUAAGCGCUAUAUAUUGGCUUCGAUUUCUGUGGAACUGCAUAAGAAACAUCGGAGCAUGGAAACAGCCACUGAAAUAAUGGCUAGUCUUCAUCAGAUGUUUGGGCAAAAUACCCAUUUUGCCAGAGAAGCAGCAUUGAAAUGUAUUAUGGAUACUAAGAUGGAAGAGGGCACAAAAGUUCGUGAUCAUGUCCUCAAAAUGAUGGACUAUUUGAAUGAGGUAGAGAUUCAUGGUGUUCAAAUCAAUGAUAAAUCAAAGAUUAACAUGGUGAUUGAAUCUUUACCUGAUACAUUCAAAGAGUUUAAGGUCAGUUAUAUCUUAAACAAUAAAGAUAUGACCUUAAUUGAAUUAAUGCACGAACUACAUGCUAUAGAAGAAUUUUAUCAUAGCAGAAAACUUCCUGAAAAAGGAUUCUCUUUAAAGCUUAAGUCGAAAGACAAGAAUGAGCAAGCAAGAGUUGGGAUCGGCAAACUGUCCACUAAAAGAAGUGGCAAGCCAAAAGGCAAGUGUUACAAAUGUGGACAGAAGGGUCACUGGAAGAAAGAUUGUCCUAAGAUUAUUAAAAUCAGGUAUAGGAAAUCUUUAAGCUUCCUAAUUAGUUCAAAUUUCUAUUGCAUCAUACAAUAAUGAAUUCUGAGAUAACUAAUCUUAUUUGUAAUUCAUUUAUUUGGUUUUCAGGAAACCAAGAGAUUAAGUGAAGAAAACAUCAAACAUCAGUUGAGGACAUGCUAGUUUAUAUCAAUUGAAAGACUAGAUCAAUUUUACAAGACUUUAGUUUUGAUAUUUGUCUUUAUAUUAGAGGAAUUUAAUUUCGGUGGCUUGUUUUAAUAAACAGGAGUACACUGUUAUUUUUUGGAUCCUCUAUUUAUUAUUUAUUUUGGUUAUUUAUAAAGACAAUUUAUAUCAUAGAAGUCCAUUGAUCUAUUCAAAGUAAGAUAUAAUGAUAAAAAGUAUAUGCAUUUAUCUAAGAAAAGAAAUGUUUCUUCUAACCAAAAAUCACCUCUGAUAUUUAUGCCUAAGUCAUAUAAACUAUAAUAAGAUUUUAAGAAAAUGAUUAAUGAUAGACUUGUUGGCCUAUUAAGAUUGAUCAUUGUAACUCUAUAAAUCUUAUUUAGAAAAGUAAUAUGAUAAGGAUGCUCUUUUUGAGCUAAAAGCAUAACAUUGUAUUUGAUGAUUUAGCGCAUACAAAUGUAUACGGACAAAUCAGUUUACAUGUUAUAAGAGGUUAUGAGUAUUCUAUCAAUCUUGUUGAUGAAUAUUCAUUUUAUUUAUGUUUGUCUAAGUGCGUCAUGAUUCCAUUGCUUUUGAAAUUCAAAAGAGUACGUGGAUAAGACAGAAGCAAUUAGACAGGAACAUAAAAGAACUUCGAUAUGAUCGAAACAAAGAAUAUCUCUAUGGAGAAUUCAAGCACUAUUUGGUUGUCAAUGAACACUAUGAUACAAAUAGUGUAAUUAAAUGGAGAAACAAGAUUCUUUUGGAUAAGACAGAUAUAUACUAAGUGUUUAUCAUUUACCUUUUUGAUUCCAGAUACUAGUAUUUGAAACUACAAAGUUUAUUGAACUUAGUUUCAUCUAUCUCGGUGUCUAUUACUCCAAGAUAUUAUGAAAAAGUCACAAACAUAGUUUGAGACACAUUCGUAUUUGGAGUUUACUAGAAUCAGAGAUAGAGAAGAUGGAUUCGUGUUCAGAAGCUUGCAUGUUUUAGGUAUCUUAAAGGAAUAAGGAAAAGUCUGAAUUAUAGUCCUCAAGAUAGGAAUGUAUUUAUAGAAAUAUUCUUUACUUUCUUUGAGGAAGACUAUAUAAUGACUUAUAACCUAAGAGUAAGGUAAAACUAGAGAAAUAAGAGAGAGAUCAGGUUGAUGCUCAGCUUUCAACACCUGUUAUAGAACAGGAAGAACAGCAACAACCAGCUGAUCAGCACAGGAUUAUCCUUGAACAACCAUCACUUUUAGAACCUCGUCGUAGUGGGAGGGUAACUAGGUUACCUGCAAGAUACAUGUUUUUGGGAGAAACCUAUAAGGCUACCUCAGAUGAACAUGUAUAAGAUCCCACUAGUUACAACGAAGCUCUAAUAGAUAGAGAUGAUGAAUUUUGAAAAAGGCCAUGAAUCAAGAAAUGGAAUCUAUGUAUUCCAAUAAAGUCUGGGAACUUGUAGAGGCACCAAAUGGGGUAAAACCUAUAGGGUGCAAGUGGAUCUACAAGAGAAAAAGAGGAGAAGAAGGAAGGGUGGAAACAUUUAAAGCAAGAUUAGUAGCCGAAGGGUUUACUCAGAAAGAAGGAAUCAAUUAUGAGGAAACCUUUUCUCCGGUUGCUAUGCUUAAAUCCAUCAGGAUUCUGCUCUCCAUUGCUGCAGUGCUAGAUUAUGAAAUUUGGCAAAUGGAUGUCAAGACUGCCUUUCUUAACAGGCAUCUUGAAGAAAACAUCUACAUACAGCAACCAGAUGGAUUUAUACAAAAAAGGCCAAGAACACAUGGUAUGUAAGUUGCAGAGAUCUAUUUAUGGAUUGAAGCAAGCAUCCCAGUCAUGGAACAUCAGAUUUGAUCAAGCGAUUAAAUCACUUGGAUUCAUUCAGAACAUUGAUGAACCAUGUGUGUACAAGAAAAUUCAGGGAAAAUUUGUAGCUUUCCUAGUUCUUUGUGUAGACAAUAUUCUCCUGAUUGGAAACGAUAUAGGAGUAUUGACUACAAUAAAGAUUUGGUUAGCAAAACAAUUUGAUAUGAAAGACCUGGGAGAGACAAGUUAUAUUCUUGGUAUCAAGUUACUAUGAGACCGGAAGAAUAAAACUUUAGCCUUGUCUCAAGCGGUCUAUAUCGAUAAGAUAUUGGCUAGAUUUAGUAUGGAAAAUUCCAAGACUGGUUUAUUACCAUUCAGACAUGGAAUUACAUUCUCUAAGGAUCAAUCACCUAAAACAUCUGAAGAGAUAGAGAGAAUGAGACGAGUUCCCUAUGCAGAAGCUGUGGGAAGUCUCAUGAAUGCCAUGCUUUGCACUAGGCCAGACAUCUGUUUUGCGGUAGGGAUGGUUAGUAGAUAUCAAUCUAAUCCUGGACUGAACACUGGACUGCGGUCAAGCAUAUAAUGAAGUAUCUGAAAAGAACUUAAAAUUAUAUGCUUGUGUAUUCUGGUGAUGAACUUAUUCUAGUGGGUUAUACUAAUUCUGAUUUUUUGUCAGAUAAGGAUUUUAGAAAAUCAACUUCCGGCUAUGUGUUUACAUUGGGAAGUGGAGCUACUAGUUGGAUGAGUGUGAAACAAUCUUGUAUCACAGACUCAACAACUAAAGCUGAAUAUGUGGCUACAUCUGAAGCUGCAAAAGAAGCUAUAUGGCUCUGCAAGUUCCUACGAAAUCUUGAGGUGGUACCUGUUGUAACUGCACCCCUUAAACUAUUUUGUGAUAAUGGUGGUGCGGUAGCUCAAUCUAAGGAACCAAGGAACCACAAGAAACAAAACAUAUUGAAAGGAAGUAUCAUCUUAUAAGGGAAUAGUGUAGAAAGGUUAUAUGACAGUACCCCAAAUGGCAUUAGAUGCUAAAUGGCAGAUCUUAUUACAAUGGCCAUUAGUGGGAAACCUUUAUAACCUGCACUUAGAGCCCUAGAGCAUGUGCAAUAUGCCAGAUAUGCUUUGAGAGCUAGUGGGAGAUUGUUGGGAAAAUAUGCUCUUUAAAAGCAUAUGUGUUUAUUUAAUUGUAAUAAACAAUUUUUCUGAUUAAUAAAAUAAAUGAGGUAUUUUAUUCAAAUAUCUUAAUUGCAUUAAUACUUGUAUUAAAGUCCAUUUAAUCAUAUUAUAUGUAUUUAUGUGAUCACCAUGUGGAUUCACAGAAGACAUAAAUACAAGUUAUCUUAUGAUUAAAUAAAUUUAGUUCGCAGUUGAUAAAUAAAGUUGGGCACUUUAUUUAGGUAUAGACUGUAAUAAAUUCAUUGAAUGAUUUGUCUUAAUCAUGUAUGAAUUUAUUGAUGUAGUACGACUACAUUGAACAGGAUCACAUAUGAGAUUUAAUUAACUUUGUAAUAACUGUCAGACUUAUUAAAUCUCAUAGGCGUUGAUUUUACUGUAAUCUUAAUCUUGAGUUAAUUAUGAUUUCAUGAUUGUAAUUGUUAUUCCAUUUGAGUUACCAACGGGCACGACACAUACUUGUGGUCAAGAUUACCCGGUAUCUUGGUGGGAGCAAUUAUGAGUAUUGGAGUUAUGGAUUAACAAUAUAGAAUUUGUACAACACAUCUCUUGAUAGGUUUUCGGUACUUGAUCAUAGAAUUCUCUGGCCAGAGUGUGUCAACAUAUUUAGUAUGUUGAAAAUGAUCAUUAGAGAAAACCAGUAAGGAUCAAGGAAUAAGAUGUUAUUAAAUUGAUUGGACAGUUGAGAUAUCAAUUUAAUUAACGAUGUGGUACAAAGGAUUGUGCAGUAAAGAAAUCAAUGUGGCUUGGGGCGAAUUAUUAUUCGAGCAUACAAUUAUGGAAGUCAGUUCCAAUCUUUUAGUGGAGUAGAUUUGGAAUUAAAUAAUUGGGCUAGUUUAAUUACAGGCCUAAUUAUUGUAGCCACUAUUGUAUGUUCCCAAAUGAUCCCCGGGUUAGCUCAUUUAAUUGACUGCACCACUACUGGACUAAUAAGUAAGAUAACUAGCUAUUUGGGUCAAAAGCCUAAAUAUAUCAUUUAGUGGGAGGCUCCAUUUAAUUAGCUUUUGUAUAAGGGGCCUUAUGUUAUUUUACAAGGUGGGUCCCCUAUUGAAAAAGAAAGUAACGUGAGUUUUAUUUAUGGCAUUUUUUGGAGCCUAGGGUUUUCACUAAAGGGUGAUAUAAAAGGCUUAUUUUUCCCUAAAGAAAAAAGAGAAGCCACUUUAUACAAAUUGGAGAAUAAGAUUUUUCUCUCUAUUGUUGAGAGAAAAAUUUUCUCGUGCUAGUUGCUUUGGUAGUGAUAAAGGCGCCCACACGUCAAGUGCAGAUCGAACCUGAGUCAUAACCUGGAAGAUCAUUGGUGACAGUUCGUGAUCUAACAAGCGUGGUGGUGACGGAUCGUGAUCUAACAGGAGUGGUGGUGGCGGAUCGUGAUCUAGGAGCCUAAAUCACUUCAGCGGAAAAAGCCAACUCGGAUUUUCAAGGUACGAUUUCUAGAAUACAAAUUCUUAUAUAUUAUAUGAGAGCGAUCUUCAAAAGGUUUAAUAAAAAUUUAAAAACCUAAUUUUUCCCCAACAAAACCAAGGGUAGGGAACAGUCAGCCGGCUAUGGGUUUUGAUAGUGGUAGCGGCUGAUUGAUUGGGAGUGACAAUGACUAUUUAGGAUAGGGUCUGAAUGCUGUGUGUGAGAGGGAGAGUGACGAUGAGUAGAGAGUGUUGAUUAUGAGUUUAGCACUUAGAAAAUUUUGUUUUUGUUUACAUUUACUUUAAACACAGCGUUUUGUUUUAUAUUUAAAAAAAUCAUUUCAUAAUCUAAAUGUUACAUUUUGGAUUUUUAAAAAAUAAAAUAUUACUUUUAUAUUUAGUCAAACAUGGUCAAUAUCAAUUUUUUAUCACAACAUUUGUGACCGAGUUAAUUUCUAUCGCAUGCGUAUCAUUGAAUAUUGAUAGAUAAUUAUUCUAUCACAAGUACAUCAUUAAUAGUUUGAUAAAUUAAAAUUUUAUCACGACUCUAUCAUACUUAUAUAAUAAAAUGAUUUAUGUCAUAAAGUGGUCAUUAUCUAUUGUCAGUUUUCUUGUAGUGUAAUAAAAUGUAGCAUAAUAAAAUAUUCAUGCAUUAAAAUAAUAUGAUAUAGUAUAAUACAAUACAAUAUACUAAAUGCACCCAAAAAAUGUUACUAAAUGGCCAAAACAAAGAGAGGACAACAAAAAUACCGGCAUGUGCUUCCAUUUUUUGCCUCACUCUCUCUUGCUUUUGACCAUUAAAAACAUUAAAAAAAUAAAAGAACGAUAAAAUACUAGCAUAAUCUAAGCCUAUCCUCCCCAUUUCACAUUAUCCUCUUUUACAAAUUACCUCUAGCAUGAUCUACACCACGAUCGAUUAUAAAAGCAAAGGCAUUUAAUGAUCAAUGGAGUUGCCGGUGUCACUGGGUAACAAUGACCACUCUAUCGUCCCCUUUUCACUUUAUCCUCCUUUGCAAACUAGCUCUCUCUUCUGUCACCUCUCUAACAAUUUGUUACCCAAGGGGGACAAAAAAGCACUUGAUGACUAACAGAGUCGCAUAUGGCAUUAGCCAACAAUAAUCAUGCUAAAGAUAUCUUAUCCCCCUUAAUAACCAGAUAAUGAUAUCUUAUAAAAACAAAAAGCCAAUACAAAAACAAUAACCUUGCACUCAAUAGAUUCAUUGCCACCAUGUCUAUGUAUAAUGAAGCCAAUAGAGUUACCGCCACCACGCUGACCCUGUCAUCAUCAAAGGCCCCAUUUAAACUCUCUCUUUCUCUGUCUUUCUUUUAUACUCGUACAUAAUCAAGUUUAUGUCAAAUAAUUAAAAAUAAAUAAUUUAAUUAUGUAAUUUA